UGCCAGCCUCCGCUGUACCACUGGUGGCGCAAGCGUUACUCGGAAUUACUGGGCGUAAAGCGUGCGCAGGCGGUUUGCUAAGACCGAUGUGAAAUCCCCGGGCUCAACCUGGGAACUGCAUUGGUGACUGGCAGGCUAGAGUAUGGCAGAGGGGGGUAGAAUUCCACGUGUAGCAGUGAAAUGCGUAGAGAUGUGGAGGAAUACCGAUGGCGAAGGCAGCCCCCUGGGCCAAUACUGACGCUCAUGCACGAAAGCGUGGGGAGCAAACAGGAUUAGAUA
rnacentral:rRNA from 1 species